rnacentral:tmRNA from 1 species
GGGGAUGCCUAGUUUCGACGGACGUGGAUCUUUUAACCUGCAGAUUGAGCUGGGACCCCUCAUAAAACGAUCCCAAUACACGACAACUGCCAACGUCAUGUCCAAGGUAGAGGCCGCGAUUGCUUCGGCAUUCCGCGUCUCCUCACCUGCAAUGGUUCUCGCUUAAACCUAAGCCGAGACCACGCUCCCCUACGAUGCUGCCCGACAGCGCGGGACCGAGCGUCAUAUUUCGGGCUUGAGUACAGAUCCUCGCAUCCUAUCUGUACUGACCUGGCGGAUGCGGUAGACGCACGUAUUUCGUUCGCUCUCUAGCGCGCGCUCUCCAUCCCAUAAGCGAACUAUAUCUGUAGAUGGUUACCUGGUUACGGCCCGGACGGGGGUGCAACUCCCCCCAUCUCCACCA